GCCUUUGGUGUGUGAUGGCCUUCUCCUCCCUUGUGCUGUUUCACGAGAUUGAAAAUGGAGUUGCUGAGAUCAGUUUUAACAGUAAGAAAGCAGCAAGUUCUCUAGGGUUUGACAGUCUGGAAGCACUGGACGGGUCCUAUUUCUGUAUUGUGGCAUCAGUGGUGGAGUCUCUGGGGAAGGGAAUCGUUUUCCUGGGACGCAGAGUGCUGUCUCCAGCUCUGGGGCCUCCAACAUGAGAAGGACAUGAACCUGCUGCAAUGACUCCAGAGGAGACAUAAGGGCUACAGAACCUCUCCUGGAAAGGCAAGCUGGGAGGGCUGGGGUUUUUCAGCCUGGAAAAAAGGCUUUGGCAACACUUAGAGCAUCCUUCCUGUGCUGAAAGGGGGUUAUAAGAAGGCUGGACAAAAAAUAUAUACAAGACCUUGGAAUGAUAGGACAGAGGGGAAUGGCCUUCAAUGGCAAGAGGGCAGGUUUCUAUUACAGAACAGGUACAAAUGCUGUACUGUGAGGGUGGCAAGGCAGUGAGAGGGGUUUUUCAGAGAAGUUGUGGAUGCCCUAUCCCUGGCAGUGUUCAGUGUCAGGUUAGAUGAGGCUUUGAGCAACCUGGUCUAGCGGCAGGUGCCGCGACCACAAAAGGGAGGGGCUUGAUGACCCUCGAGGUGCAUGAGUGGAGUGCAUUCAAUGGCAUGUUCUCUAGCCCAGGUGUUUAUAAGGCUGUUCUUGAAGUGGGUCCCAUUGUCUGACUCGAUUCUCUCCGGGGUGCCAUGUCUCCAGAGGAUUUGCUUUUCAAGGCCCACCAUGGUGUUCCAGGCAGUAGCGUGAGGCACGGGGUAGGUCUCCAACCAUCCAGUGGUUGCUUCCACCAUGGUCAGCACAUAGCGCUGGCCUUGGCGGGUUUGGGGAAGGGUGAUGUAGUCAAUCUGCCAGGCUUCCCCGUACUUAUACUUGGACCUUCG